rnacentral:rRNA from 1 species
UAGUGAGUUUGAUCCUGGCUCAGGAUGAACGCUGGCGGUCUGCUUAACACAUGCAAGUCGAACGCAAGUAGAAAUACUUGAGUGGCGGACGGGUGAGUAACGCGUGAGAAACUGCCCCUUGGACCGGGACAACAGCUGGAAACGACUGCUAAUACCGGAUGUGCCGGAAGGUGAAAGCUUUAGUGCCAAAGGAAGAGCUCGCGUCUGAUUAGCUAGUAGGAGUGGUAACGGCACCCCUAGGCGACGAUCAGUAGCUGGUCUGAGAGGAUGAUCAGCCACACUGGGACUGAGACACGGCCCAGACUCCGUACGGGAGGCAGCAGUGGGGAAUAUUGGACAAUGGGCGAAAGCCUGAUCCAACAAUGCCGCGUGAGUGAUGAAGGUCCUUAGGGUUGUAAACGCUCGUUUACCCGGAUGAUAAUGACAGUACCGGAAGAACUACGCCCCGGUCUAACUCCGUGCCAG